UCCCUGGAGGAGUAGUGGUUAGGCCACAGUGCUCUUGCAGCUUCGGCCCGGGUUUGAUUCCCAGCCAGGGAA